GCAGGGUGUGAUGGCUCGCACCUGUAAUCCCAGUGGCUUGGGAGGCUGAGGCAGGAGGAUCCUAAGUUCAAAGCCAGCCUCAG
rnacentral:sRNA from 1 species